rnacentral:rRNA from 1 species
GUGCCAGCCGCCGCGGUAAUACGGAGGAUGCGAGCGUUAUCCGGAUUUAUUGGGUUUAAAGGGUGCGUAGGCGGUUUGUUAAGUCAGCGGUGAAAUCUAGAGGCUCAACCUCGAAACUGCCGUUGAAACUGGCGAACUUGAGUGUAGAUGAGGUAGGCGGAAUUCGUGGUGUAGCGGUGAAAUGCAUAGAUAUCACGAGGAACUCCAAUUGCGAAGGCAGCUUACUAAGGUACAACUGACGCUGAAGCACGAAAGCGUGGGUAUCAAACAGGAUUAGAAACCCCUGUAGUCC